rnacentral:rRNA from 1 species
GUGGGGAAUCUUAGACAAUGGGGGCAACCCUGAUCUAGCCAUGCCGCGUGAGUGAUGAAGGCCUUAGGGUUGUAAAGCUCUUUCAGUGGGGAAGAUAAUGACGGUACCCACAGAAGAAGCCCCGGCUAACUCCGUGCCAGCAGCCGCGGUAAUACGGAGGGGGCUAGCGUUGUUCGGAAUUACUGGGCGUAAAGCGCACGUAGGCGGAUCGGAAAGUUGGGGGUGAAAUCCCAGGGCUCAACCCUGGAACUGCCUUCAAAACUAUCGGUCUGGAGUCCGAGAGAGGUGAGUGGAAUUCCGAGUGUAGAGGUGAAAUUCGUAGAUAUUCGGAGGAACACCAGUGGCGAAGGCGGCUCACUGGCUCGGUACUGACGCUGAGGUGCGAAAGCGUGGGUAGCAAACAGGAUUAGAAACCCUGGUAGUCC